ACCUUCGUGGUGUAAUGGCCAGCACACUCGACGGGUAUUCAAGAGGUCCGAGGUUCGAGUCCCGGCUAGAGUA
rnacentral:tRNA from 1 species